rnacentral:rRNA from 1 species
UACGAAGGGGGCUAGCGUUGUUCGGAAUUACUGGGCGUAAAGCGCACGUAGGCGGUUUGUUAAGUCAGAGGUGAAAUCCCGGAGCUCAACUCCGGAACUGCCUUUGAUACUGGCAAGCUAGAGUCCGGAAGAGGUAAGUGGAACUCCUAGUGUAGAGGUGGAAUUCGUAGAUAUUAGGAAGAACACCAGUGGCGAAGGCGGCUUACUGGUCCGGAACUGACGCUGAGGUGCGAAAGCGUGGGGAGCAAACAGG